GGACAAACUGGACUGAAUAGAUCCUUGAACAGCACUGAGCAUCAUUUACUCAGUCAUUUUUACAAGUGAAUAAUGGAACCACGCGUUUCAGUCCUGAUUGUGUUUGUUUCUCUUCUAUCUGUUGCUCAGGGCCUGAAGUGUAACUACUGCCAGAGCAUCGAUAAGAACCAUCCUUCCUGUGAGCAAACCAAGGAGCUAGAAUGCAAUAUGGGUCUCACACACUGCAUCAGGCUCAUAAUGCAUGAACCAGCAUAUGGUGAAGUGCGUCGAUGUGCCAGUACCAAGGAUUGUGAGGAGAAAUUGCCUGAGCCGGUGGAGAGAGAAUGCUGCAAUACAGACCUCUGCAACUGACCUUGUUAUGGCUGAGACUCAAUAUGCUCAAUUCCACACAAAUUACAGUGAUAAUGUAUAGCAAUAUAAGCCAUGAUUUUUAAUAAGUGAAUAAUGAAAGAAAUGUAUUUAGUGCAUGGUAAAUCACUAUAAAUUAUACACCUGAAUCAAAACAAAAUAAAACAAUGUGCAUGUCUGC